UACGUAGGUGGCAAGCGUUGUCCGGAAUUAUUGGGCGUAAAGCGCGCGCAGGCGGUCUUUUAAGUCUGAUGUGAAAUUUUGCGGCUCAACCGUAAGCGGUCAUUGGAAACUGAAAGACUUGAGUGCAGAAGAGGAGAGUGGAAUUCCACGUGUAGCGGUGAAAUGCGUAGAUAUGUGGAGGAACACCAGUGGCGAAGGCGACUCUCUGGUCUGUAACUGACGCUGAGGCGCGAAAGCGUGGGGAGCAAACAGG
rnacentral:rRNA from 1 species